UCCCUGGUGGUCCAGUGGUUAAGACUCUGUGCUUCCACUGCAGGGGCUCCGGAUUUGAUCCUUGGUCAGGGAA
rnacentral:tRNA from 1 species